UGGGGGGUGGUGCAACCGGUAACACGUCUCCCUUUGAAGGAGAAAUUUCAGGUCCGAAUCCUGGCCCCCCAG
rnacentral:tRNA from 1 species